GAUGAAGAACGUAGCGAAAUGCGAUACGUAGUGUGAAUUGCAGAAUUCAGUGAAUCAUCGAAUCUUUGAACGCACAUUGCGCCCUUUGGUAUUCCAAAGGGCAUGCCUGUUCGAGCGUCAUUUGUACCCUCAAGCUUUGCUUGGUGUUGGGUGUUUGUCCCGCGUUGCGCGUGGACUCGCCUUAAAGCGAUUGGCAGCCGGCAUAUUGGCCUUGGAGCGCAGCACAUUUUGCGCUUCUAGUCAUGAAUGUUGGCGUCCAUUAAGCCUAUACAUUUGCUCUUGACCUCGGAUCAGGUAGGGAUACCCGCUGAACUUAAGCAUAUCAAUAAGCGGAGGA
rnacentral:misc_RNA from 1 species